CCUACGGGAGGCAGCAGUGAGGAAUAUUGGUCAAUGGGCGCGAGCCUGAACCAGCCAAGUAGCGUGAAGGAUGACUGCCCUACGGGUCGUAAACUUCUUUUAUAAAGGAAUAAAGUGAGGCACGUGUGCCUUUUUGUAUGUACUUUAUGAAUAAGGAUCGGCUAACUCCGUGCCAGCAGCCGCGGUAAUACGGAGGAUCCGAGCGUUAUCCGGAUUUAUUGGGUUUAAAGGGAGCGUAGAUGGGUUGUUAAGUCAGUUGUGAAAGUUUGCGGCUCAACCGUAAAAUUGCAAUUGAUACUGGCAGUCUUGAGUACAGUUGAGGUAGGCGGAAUUCGUGGUGUAGCGGUGAAAUGCUUAGAUAUCACGAAGAACUCCGAUUGCGAAGGCAGCUUACUAAACUGCCACUGACAUUGAUGCUCGAAAGUGUGGGUAUCAAACAGGAUUAGAUACCCCGGUAGUC
rnacentral:rRNA from 1 species